rnacentral:tRNA from 1 species
ACUGUCUUAGCUCAGUUGGUAGAGCACCGGAGUACAAACCCGGAGCCCGAGGGUUUGAGUCCUGCCGGCAGAC